CCUUCCCUGGUUCUGCAGCCCGAGUCCCGGCGCGCGGGUGACCGCGCUGUCGCUGUGCCCGAGGCCUGUUCUUGGCGCUUCGCUGGGCCUCAGUUUCCGUCUGUGCAACGUAGCUCUCACCCUGUGCUCGGCCUCACCCGGUCCUUGGCGGCCUUAUGCGGUGGCGACAUUGUGUCGGGAACGUGCACCUUCCCUGCUCCGCGGCUCGGGCCUCCGGCUGGUCUUUCACUGCGGGGUCCUCCCCGCCCAGGGCAGCGGCUCCCGCAGCGACAGUCGGCUGGAGGACUGUGGUUCAAGAUCUAGCAGAUGGAGGAGCAGGACGACAGUUCAGGGUUUCCUGGGCUUUUGGAGUGGAUGAACGUGAAAUUUACCACAUCGGAACAAAAUAAGGAGAAAGCCAGGAUUUCAGGAGCGUUCCCAAGGAAAGACCGUUGGCAGCCUUACAACGAUUUUCCCUACACUCACAGAGAGAGAGAGAGGAGAGAGAGAGGCAGAGGGAGAAGCAAGCCCCAUACACCGGGAGCCCGACGCAGGACUCGAUCCCGGAUCUCCAGGAUCACGCCCUGGGCCAAAGGCAGGCGCCAAACCGCUGCGCCACCCAGGGAUCCCCUAUUCCCUGCUUUCUUACUGAAAUUGAGUCUUGAGAAUUCUUUAGAUUUCUUGGAUACAAAUCUAUUUGAUUUUUAUUUUCAACUGUGGUAAAAUAAACAUAGCAUAAAAUUAACCAUCUUAA